rnacentral:lncRNA from 1 species
AGAUCCAUACAAACCUACUGAGAUCUCAGGUUCGGUGCUUGUACUGAGCAAGGGCGUCAGGAAACACCUGGCCUGUUUCCUUUCUUUCCCCUCAGCCGUCCUGCCACUGUCCCCGGACAGCCUAUCCGUUCCAGGUUCUCUGCCCCACACUGAUUAAAUUCUAAUGUGAACUGCAAAGUUUUCUGUUUUUCUUUAACAAGAGGAAGGAUCUUGAUUAAUUAUGUAAUACUGUAUUUCCUGAAUAUGGGCACUGUCUUUUAAAUAUCUAAGAAAAUAAAGCUAGAGAGAAUUCCAAUGCAGAGUGUGGGAAGCUCUGCUGAAGUCUGUUCUGAGGUGUCUCUUAGCUGAUGAAAGGAUUUUCCUCUGUUCUGGCUGAAGGCAUGGCAUUCUUCUAGACUUGCAUAUUCAUCACGUUCACCCAAGACUUCCUUUGCUGGUGCCGAUCGCAGUGUACAUGGAAGGCUCCUGUCUUUGGUGAGAGUUUACCCCAGGCUGUCUCGGCUGCCUCCUGCAGACUUUGUCACUGUUCCGAGGGCUUUAGCUCUGGAUUUCUGUGACUCUUUCAGACAGAUUCUUUUUAUCUCCAUUUUGCUC